ensembl:lncRNA
AUGUUAUAUUUUUACAUAUUUCAGAAUCCAAUGUCAGAAAAGAGGACAGGGAGAAAGCAGAUAAGGAAAGCAAAGAAUAGGCUAGGUCAGAAGCCAGGGCAAAAGUUGAACCAAUGGAGUGAGGAUAGGAUGAAGGGUGCGAUUAUGGAGUAUAGGGAGCAGGUGGAGACAGGGCAGGCUCCUCAACUUCGCAUGAUUGCACGUGCAUGGAAUGUGCCAAAAAGCACCCUCCAGCGGAGGGUCAAGAAUCAUGUACAAGGCUACAAGCAUGCUUCGGGUCGCAAACCAGUCUUACCUAAAGAGAGUGAGGCAGAGUUGGUUAAGAUGAUCAAGACCCUUUCCAAGAGAGGUUUCCCACUUAGAAGAAAGGAGAUCCAGUUGCUUGCCUACCAAUACGCACAAGCAAACAACUUGCCUGGAUUUUCAGAAAAAAAAAAGAGGGCUGAGCAGUACUGGUUUGAAAAUUUUAUGCGCCGAAAUCCUGACCUCAGCCAAAGGAAACCGGAGGCCCUCUCUGCUGCAAGAGCAGCAGGGAUUAACCCCACAGCAAUUGAGAAAUGGUUCCAGCAGUAUCAAGAUCUUCUUACUGAGCUGGGAAUCAAGGAUGUGCCUUCCCACAUUUGGAAUUGCGAUGAGACAGGAAUGCAGGACCAUUUUCUAUCAGCCACUGUGAUUUCAGAGGUGGGGAGUGCUUGCUACGAGAUAACGUCAGGCGAAAAGGGGGAGACGACAACAGCUUUGGCCAGCUUUAAUGCUGCAGGGGACUACGGUCCUCUCUUGGUCAUCUUCAAAGCCAAGAGGCUAAAAGCAGAGUGGCUUUAUAAUGUUACUCCCAACACAGUAGUGAAGGUGUCCGAUAAUGGCUGGAUAACAACUGAGCUGUUUUUAGAUUGGGGGAAGCAAUUCGUGGACAUGCUCCCUAAGGAUGACCUCAGACCACAUGUGCUGCUGCUGGACGGCCACACCAGUCAUGUAUUCAACAUUGAUUUCCUGAGGCUCAUGCAGUCACACAGGGUACAUGUGGUGUGCUAUCCUUCCCACACCACCCACUGUCUGCAACCAGCCGACAAGUCCCUCUUCAAGUCCCUGAAACAUCAUUGGGGGAGUUUUUUUCCUUGUUUGGGAGGGCAUGGAGGAGGGCAAGCACAGUCCAGACUGCCCAAGCUGGCUUCAGGGGGACUGGGAUGUACCCAGUAAAUCCCAUGGCUAUACACCCCAAUGUGUAUGAGCCAAGUCUGACCACCGAAAGGCCACUGGAGCCUGAAGGAAGUGCACAGGAACAUGAAAAUCUGGAUUUGCCAGAGAUCCCUGAUAGGAUUGGGGCAGAAGUGGCUGUUGGGGAGGAUGCCACUAACACAGGCCAAGAAGAGGUGUUAGAGGGAGUGUCUUUUGCCACACUAAUCCCAAUUCCAAAGAGAGAGAGAGGCAAGAUGAGAAAGAGGUCCAAACCACCCUCUUACCACCUAACCAGUGAUGAACAUUUUUCAUACAUUGCCUCAAAAAAACAAACAAAGCCUACCAAAAAAAACAAAAAACCAAAAACAAGAAAGAUGGAGGGUACAAGCUCGGAUGGCCAGGACAUUUGCAAUAUUUGUAAAGCCAAAUUUGGUGAUGCAAAUGAUCCAAAGAAGACAGAGGACUGGAUCAUGUGCAUUGUUUGCGAGGACUGGUUCCAUGAGACGUGUGGCGAGGAGAAUGGCCUCAUUGAAGACGGGGAGGCGUUCACUUGCACUGGCUGUAUUGACGUGUAGAUUAACCUACCAUACAGAAAUUAAAUUAAGCCUGUGUGCAAUCAAUUAAUUCCUACAAGAAGAGAUGUUAAUGAAGGUUAUUAUUAUUAUUUUUUUUUUU